rnacentral:lncRNA from 1 species
GUUGUCUUGAGUUUUUAAGCCAUUUUUUUCCUUUGGUUAUUAUAGAUUACUUAUUCGUGAAGAUGGAAGAGAUAAUUAUACCAAUUUUAUGCUUACUUAAUGCUUGCUUUACUUAAUAAAAAUUUAAUUUUCACUUUGCAGCAGGAAGACUAAUGAGCCUCGACUGCUGUCUGUUAGAAAAUGUAAAUGAAAGAGUGACAUUAUUUACUGCAACAAUGGGAUUAAUAAGCAUAAAUUCCACAGCUAUUUGUCCAGAAGUCGUCAAUCUGAAUUAUGAAGUCAUCUUUGUUCUGCAAAAAGGACAACUCUGA